GAUGAACGCUAGCGACAGGCUUAACACAUGCAAGUCGAGGGGCAGCAAGAAUUGUAGCAAUACAAUUUGUUGGCGACCGGCGCACGGGUGAGUAACGCGUAUGCAACCUACCUAUCAGAGGGGGAUAGCCCGGUGAAAGCCGGAUUAAUACCGCAUAAAACAGGGAUCCCGCAUGGGAAUAUUUGCUAAAGAUUUAUUGCUGAUAGAUGGGCAUGCGUUCCAUUAGUUAGUUGGUGAGGUAACGGCUCACCAAGACAUCGAUGGAUAGGGGUUCUGAGAAGAAGGUCCCCCACACUGGUACUGAGACACGGCCCAAACUCCUACGGGAGGCAGCAGUGGGGGAUAUUGCACAGUGGGGGAAACCCUGAUGCAGCGACGCCGCGUGAGUGAAGACGGCCUUCGGGUUGUAAAGCUCUGUUGUGGGGGACGAAACAAAUGACGGUACCCCACCAGAAAGCCACGGCUAACUACGUGCCAGCCGCCGCUGUAAUAC
rnacentral:rRNA from 1 species